rnacentral:lncRNA from 1 species
CAGCCAAAUCCCUGCCUUACUGACCUCUCCCCUGGAGGAGCAGGAGCAGCGCUCAAGGCCGCCUUGGGAGGGCUGAGAGGCAGGCUCUGGACUGGGGACACAGGGAUAGCUGAGCCCCAGCUGGGGGUGGAAGCUGAGCCAGAGACAGUCACAGAGGAACAAGAUCAAGAUGCGCUUUAACUGAGAAGCCCCCAAGGCAGAGGCUGAGAAUCAGAAGACAUUUCAGCAGACAUCUACAAAUCUGAAGGACAAAACAUGGUUCAAGCAUCUGGGCACAGGCGUAGAAAUGGGGUUUCGCCAUGUUCGCCAGGCUGUUCUUGAACUCCUGACCUCAGGUGAUCCACCCGCCUCGGCCUCCCAAAAGAACAUACAUAUGAUAGUUGAGAAAGACACAUAUUCUGAUCAUGAAGAAAUAAACACAAGUUAAAUAUGACUAAGCAGAAAGAUGGAAGGACCAGGAACGGUGAUGCUAACUUGGAACCACGAUGCAGGCUCUAAUCUCCUCUACAAUCAUCCUCCCUUGUGAGAAAAAUACAUAAGAUCUAAGGCACAUGAGAUGAUACGCUUUCUGUUUGAGUUUCUCCUUUAUGUUACGCAUACUGAUAAAAUUGUUGACGCCAGUUGAUCUGAAGGUCCCAGCAAGGAGCCGACUCACAGAAGAAUGCAGUUUUCACAUUGUGAUGAUUUAAUCUUCCUUGACCUGAGCAAUUGACAACCCCAAUUCUCCAGAACCUCACCCGCCACAAUCCCCUUAAAAACCCUGGUCCAGAACCCCUCAAGCAGACAGAUUUGAAGCUUGAGGAUUCCUUCAUCUCUUUGCCCAAUGGCAUUGUGAUUAUUAAACUCUUUUUCUGCUGGAAAUUAUGAUGUCUCAGUGUAUUGGUCUAUUGCUGCUCAGUGGGCAUAUGAAUCUGGCAGUCCUGUAACAGGGACAAAAGAUAAACUACUGGCAAAACACUCGUAAAAGUCAUAAC